CGGGAAUCUGCCCUAUGGUUUCGGAAUAACAUGUUAGAAAUGACUGUCUAAUAUCCGGAUAAUGACGUACAGUCCAAAGCAUUUAUCGCCCAAGGAUGAGCCCGCGUUAGGAUUAAGCUAGGUUAGGUGGGGUAAAGGCCCACCAAGGCGACGAUCCUUAGCUGGUCUUGAUGAGGAUAGAUCAGCCACACUGGGACUGAGACACCGGUCCAGACUCAUAACGGGAGGCAGCAGUGGGGAAUAUUGGACAAUGGGCGAAAGCCUGAUCCAGCAAUGCCGCGUGAAGUGAUGAAGGCCUUAGGGUUGUAAAGCUACUUUUACCCGGGAUGAUAAUGACAGUACCGGGAGAAU
rnacentral:rRNA from 1 species